rnacentral:lncRNA from 1 species
CUUGGUCGCCGCCCCCCUGCCGAUCUCCUCCUCUCUCAAUUCUUGCAGCCACCAAACCCUAGCCGCCCCCCUCUCAAUCCCCUUCUCCCAAGGUGCCAAUCCUUGCCGCUCGGAUCAUCGUCGUCGUGGUGCGAGUCUUCAAUCGUUUUGGUGGAGGGAAGAAGGGAGGAAGGAAAGGGGGGAGAAUCCAAGGUGAUUUUUGUGUUCAUCCCUUGUUCAUUUGCGCUGCAAUUUAAUUGAUUAGAGGUUGCGUUUGCGAUUGGGGUAGAGGGGGGCUGUCCAGAAUUUUAGGUGGUAGGUGAACAGCAGUAGUCUAGCAGUUUCUGUGUUUUUUUCGUGAGGAAUUAAGGGAAAUCAGUUUGGGGAUCAUGUAGAACUUUACCUUACCUUUCCAACGAGUAUUUAUGCGCUCAAUUUGGAGUUAUAAAUUGAACGUUAUCACCGUUUGAAUCCGGGUAUGUGGCUGUCCAAAAAAACAGAUUUUUCAGGGGGAUGAACAGCAGCAGUAUUAGCAGUUUCUGGGGAUUUUUCGGAAGUAAUUAGUGUUAAUCAGUACGAGAAUCAUGUAGGGAUUUAUGUUAUAUUUCCAACAAGUACUUAUGUGCUCGAUUCGGAGUUAUAAUUCAGGAGAUAUCGUUGUUUGAAUCCGGUUAUUUGCUGUCCAAAAAAACAGAUUUUUCAGGGGAUGAACAGCAGCAGUAUUAGCAGUUUCUGGGGAUUUUUCGGGAGUAAUUAGUGUUAAUCAGUAUGAGAAUCAUGUAGGGCUUUAUGUUAUCUUUCCAACAAGUACUUAUGCGCUCGAUUCGGAGUUAUAAUUCAGGAGAUAUCGUUGUUUGAAUCCGGUUAUGUUGCUGUCCAAAAAAACAGAUUUUUCAGGUGGGUGAACAGCAGUGGUAUUAUCAGUUUCUGGGAAUUUUUCGUGGGUAAUUAGUGUUAACCAGUAUGGUAAUCAUGUAGGGAUUUGUCUUAUCUUUCCAAUGAGUACUUAUGCGCUUGAUUUGGAAUUAUAUUUUAAAAGAUACCGCUGUUUGAAUCUGGGUAUGUCGCUGUCCAAAAGACAAAGAAAAACAGAUUACAGGGUGCAUCUUGUGGACUGUUUUGGGCUAAUUAGAUAUUGGAAUUUAAUUAUAAAUUGUAUACAAAACUUGUGGGGAAUUUUAUGUAGAUGCCUCUGGAGUUUUUGUUUGUUACCACUGCUGUCAUAAUUUUAAAGUUAUGAAAUUAUUAAGCAGCGCCGCUGCAGUUUGGUGGGUGUAGGGAGAGAUGUAACCCGCGGCGGGGAUUGAGUUUGUGCGUAGGUGUGGCGUCGCUUAUGAGCCUGAUUAUGUGAAAUUGGUGUACUAAGUUGGGUGUCAAAAACAGGUGGUGGGCUUCCGGAUCGUACUUGGGAUUUGCCCGAACUUCCGGUAAAGGCAAGUAAAUACAGUGGUGGUUGCUACCGUUUGGUUUGCAUCCUAUUCCCUCUCAUUGAGUAUGCAUAAGUUUUAAUUAUGUUAAUCAUUGAAUUCUAUGAUGAAGUUUAUUUGUUUGGAAGUAUUAAUUCUCAAUUGUCUAAUAUUGUGGAUGAUCAUAAUUUGGUAAUGAUAUAUGUGGUUGAUUCCCAUCUGGAUGAAGUUGAAGUGUCUUUUUGAAUCAUGUUAUAUGAAGUGUUGUAGGCAUGACAUGCGCAUCGCAUCAUCCAUCUUGCAUUUUGAAGUUAUGUCGUGAUCUUAUGGUUCGACCGUACCGGUACAUUUUUAGCAUCGUACGUUGCCCGAGGAGGGGUACGAUGCGGCUUCAUAUCCUUAGAGGUAUGAAGGCAGAAGUCAUCCUUGCAUUUGCAGACAUUUGCACUCAUGAGGAAUAUAUGAAGUGUGACAUUACUAUGUUACUAUUGUGGUUUCUACCUGCGAGGUGUGGUAACUAGGUGCGUUGUACGUUGUAUACGUGCUGCACCUUCGUAAUAUGAAGGUUGUGGAAUUAAGUGGUGGUAAAACAAUGUUCUUAUGUGGUUAAAUUGUUUGAUAUUAUUUUACUUGCUGAGAUAUGUCAUCUCACUCUUGCAUUACUCAAUGCAGGUACUUGAUACAUGUUGGGAAUGAGGGGAGUAGCAGCACGUCCACUUUCACUCUCACAAUAACGCUGCCCAGGCGCAGCCAUGAUUUAAUUAGAAACUUAUUGUCAAAGGAAGUUUGUUUAUUUUUUUAUAUGGUCGUGCGCACUGGUUAAUUCAGUUCAGGUCGUAUGUUUAUCUUUCCUUGCUAGCCGAGUAAUAAUACUUAGUAUGUUUUAGUCAUGAUAUAUGUUUAUACUCCGUUGCUCCCUCUUUUAUGCAAUCUUGCAAAGGGGAUGCUGCCGAAAUUUUAUAUAUGGACGUCGGAAGUGUAGUACAGUAGCAUACCGGGUUGUUUGUGGAACCUGGAGUGUUACAGUUGGUAUCAGAGGAUAGGCUUUAGAUUCUACGCAAUUUGAAGAUAAAUUUGACACACUUGCACAUAUA